UUUGAAGGACUUUAUGGAUUUUCCCUUUUAUUUCCAUUUUAAAAUUCAUUUUAAAUACUUUUGUUGCAUUUUACUUCAUUUUAUAUUUGUUGACCUUUGCUGACUUUUGUUUGGCCUUGGAUCAUGGUUGUUUUGAUUAUAGGUCUCAUUAAACUCAAUGGAUCUUGGGUGUUGAUGGGGUGAAAACCCUAAUCCAUCAAAAUUGAUGAUUGAUUUUGAUGAUGACUUGAUCUAACAUUUAGUCCAAUUUGGGUGUGAUCUCUC
rnacentral:lncRNA from 1 species